AACUGGAACAGAUGAAGGAUCUGUGCUGUAGUCAUCCCACACAGAUAUGUGGCUGGCAGAGGCUUCUGAUCGGUCUGAAAGCUGGUAACAUGAAGGAAAAGAUGGCUUGAAAGAACGCGAGAAUGAGGCAUCUGAGGACGUGUCUGAAUACAGGAAGUUAUUUUAGAAGAUCUGGGCGGUGGAGGAGCGCUUGUCUCUGUCUCAAAUGUGCACACUGAUAAAAAACGUUUGGAAGCACAUUAAUGAGCUCAGUGCUUAUCCAUACGACCAUCGGGGGACAAAUCCAAUUUCGCCUGUAAAAUAAUGACAGCCCCUUCUUGGACAUCAAAAGAGACAGGCCAAAUUACAGCCAACACUUGAUCAUCUGCUUCAAAAUGACCAUGCAUUUCUCUAGAGGGAGGCUAAAACCAGCUUUGAUAGUUUGCCUCUGGACAAGAAUGAAUUUGUGGUAGAGAACUCCAGAUGCUGUUAUUAUGUAGAGAAUGCCCUACACUUGAG
ensembl:lncRNA